rnacentral:rRNA from 1 species
UCAGCGGCGGACGGGUGAGUAAUGCCUAGGAAUCUGCCUGGUAGUGGGGGAUAACGUCCGGAAACGGGCGCUAAUACCGCAUACGUCCUGAGGGAGAAAGUGGGGGAUCUUCGGACCUCACGCUAUCAGAUGAGCCUAGGUCGGAUUAGCUAGUUGGUGGGGUAAAGGCCUACCAAGGCGACGAUCCGUAACUGGUCUGAGAGGAUGAUCAGUCACACUGGAACUGAGACACGGUCCAGACUCCUACGGGAGGCAGCAGUGGGGAAUAUUGGACAAUGGGCGAAAGCCUGAUCCAGCCAUGCCGCGUGUGUGAAGAAGGUCUUCAGAUUGUAAAGCACUUUAAGUUGGGAGGAAGGGCAGUAAGUUAAUACCUUGCUGUUUUGACGUUACCAACAGAAUAAGCACCGGCUAACUUCGUGCCAGCAGCCGCGGUAAUACGAAGGGUGCAAGCGUUAAUCGGAAUUACUGGGCGUAAAGCGCGCGUAGGUGGUUCAGCAAGUUGGAUGUGAAAUCCCCGGGCUCAACCUGGGAACUGCAUCCAAAACUACUGAGCUAGAGUACGGUAGAGGGUGGUGGAAUUUCCUGUGUAGCGGUGAAAUGCGUAGAUAUAGGAAGGAACACCAGUGGCGAAGGCGACCACCUGGACUGAUACUGACACUGAGGUGCGAAAGCGUGGGGAGCAAACAGG